ensembl:misc_RNA
UUGACAUCACUGGAAACUGAAGGCCUCUUUUGUCCACAGAACAGGUACAGCCCAGGCAGCGGCAGGGCAAAUUUCACCACACUGCCCUCCCAGUGUGCAUAAAUCCUAUAGUAAGGGAUGUAUACUGUAAGAAGAUAGUUUAGUGUAUGUUCCCAGUCAUUUUCUGAGCUUCG